UACGGGGGGGGCAAGCGUUGUUCGGAAUUACUGGGCGUAAAGGGCUCGUAGGCGGCCAACUAAGUCAGACGUGAAAUCCCUCGGCUUAACCGGGGAACUGCGUCUGAUACUGGAUGGCUUGAGUUUGGGAGAGGGAUGCGGAAUUCCAGGUGUAGCGGUGAAAUGCGUAGAUAUCUGGAGGAACACCGGGGGCGAAGGCGGCAUCCUGGGCCAACACUGACGCUGAGUGAGCGAAAGCCAGGGGAGCAAACGGG
rnacentral:rRNA from 1 species